AUUCCGGUUGAUCCUGCCGGAGGCCAUUCCUAUCGGAGUCCGAUUUAGCCAUGCUAGUUGUCCGGGUUUAGACCCGCAGCGGAAAGCUCAGUAACACGUGGCCAAGCUACCCUGUGGACGGGAAUACUCUCGGGAAACUGAGGCUAAUCCCCGAUAACGCUUUGCUCCUGGAAGGGGCAAAGCCGGAAACGCUCCGGCGCCACAGGAUGCGGCUGCGGUCGAUUAGGUAGACGGUGGGGUAACGGCCCACCGUGCCCAUAAUCGGUACGGGUUGUGAGAGCAAGAGCCCGGAGACGGAAUCUGAGACAAGAUUCCGGGCCCUACGGGGCGCAGCAGGCGCGAAACCUUUACACUGUACGAAAGUCCGAUAAGGGGACUCCGAGUGUGAAGGCAUAGAGCCUUCACUUUUGUACACCGUAAGGUGGUGCACGAAUAAGGACUGGGCAAGACCGGUGCCAGCCGCCGCGGUAAUACCGGCAGUCCGAGUGAUGGCCGAUCUUAUUGGGCCUAAAGCGUCCGUAGCUGGCUGAACAAGUCCGUUGGGAAAUCUGUCCGCUUAACGGGCAGGCGUCCAGCGGAAACUGUUCAGCUUGGGACCGGAAGACCUGAGGGGUACGUCUGGGGUAGGAGUGAAAUCCUGUAAUCCUGGACGGACCGCCGGUGGCGAAAGCGCCUCAGGAGAACGGAUCCGACAGUGAGGGACGAAAGCUAGGGUCUCGAACCGGAUUAGAUACCCGGGUAGUCCUAGCUGUAAACGAUGUCCGCUAGGUGUGGCGCAGGCUACGAGCCUGCGUGUGCCGUAGGGAAGCCGAGAAGCGGACCGCCUGGGAAGUACGUCUGCAAGGAUGAAACUUAAAGGAAUUGGCGGGGGAGCACUACAACCGGAGGAGCCUGCGGUUUAAUUGGACUCAACGCCGGACAUCUCACCAGCCCCGACAGUAGUAAUGACGGUCAGGUUGAUGACCUUACCCGAGGCUACUGAGAGGAGGUGCAUGGCCGCCGUCAGCUCGUACCGUGAGGCGUCCUGUUAAGUCAGGCAACGAGCGAGACCCGCACUCCUAAUUGCCAGCAGUACCCUUUGGGUAGCUGGGUACAUUAGGUGGACUGCCGCUGCCAAAGCGGAGGAAGGAACGGGCAACGGUAGGUCAGUAUGCCCCGAAUGGGCUGGGCAACACGCGGGCUACAAUGGUCGAGACAAUGGGAAGCCACUCCGAGAGGAGGCGCUAAUCUCCUAAACUCGAUCGUAGUUCGGAUUGAGGGCUGAAACUCGCCCUCAUGAAGCUGGAUUCGGUAGUAAUCGCGUGUCAGCAGCGCGCGGUGAAUACGUCCCUGCUCCUUGCACACACCGCCCGUCAAAUCACCCGAGUGGGGUUCGGAUGAGGCCGGCAUGCGCUGGUCAAAUCUGGCUCCGCAAGGGGGAUUAAGUCGUAACAAGGUAGCCGUAGGGGAAUCUGCGGCUGGAUCACCUCCU
rnacentral:rRNA from 1 species